CGUUAUAUGCCUUUUUGCCACACAUUCAAUUCCUGUUGCCGUGUGUCGUUUAUUAGAUUGGUCGUUUAUAAAAUGACAAGCCCGAAUAGAUAUUCGGGCUUUUUUUAUGGU
rnacentral:sRNA from 1 species